CAAUGGAGAGUUUGAUCCUGGCUCAGGACGAACGCUGGCGGCGUGCUUCAUACAUGCAAGUCGAACGAGAAGCUAGAGCUUGCUCUAGUGGAAAGUGGCGGACGGGUGAGUAAUAUGUAGGAAAUCUGCCCUAGAGAGGGGGACAACAGAAGGAAACUUCUGCUAAUACCCCAUAUGAGCUUGGUUGAAAUACCAAUCUUGAAAACUCCGGUGCUCUAGGAUGAGCCUGCACCUGAUUAGCUUGUUGGUGGUGUAAUGGACUACCAAGGCGACGAUCAGUAGCUGGUUUGAGAGGAUGAUCAGCCACAAUGGGACUGAGACACGGCCCAUACUCCUACGGGAGGCAGCAGUAGGGAAUUUUGCGCAAUGGGCGAAAGCCUGACGCAGCAACGCCGCGUGUGUGAUGACGCCCUUCGGGGUGUAAAACACUGUCAGUAGGGACGAAUUUUGACGGUACCUACAGAGGAAGCACCGGCUAACUCCGUGCCAGCAGCCGCGGUAAUACGGAGGGUGCA
rnacentral:rRNA from 1 species